GAUUUUUUUUAACAUUGAGGACAAUGUUAGGUUUAGGUUUGGGGGUAUUCAUCUUGAUUUUCAUCCAAAAAAAAAUGUGUGUUCCUUUUCAUAAAAUAAUAAUUAAUAAAUAAUAAUAAAAAAUUUAAAUAAAAAAAGUUUUGUUUUUAUUAAAAAAAUCUAAUUUCUAUACAUGAAUGUGAGAAUGAUAAAUACACAAGGUAUAUAAAAUCUAAAAAGCCCAAUAACUAGUCGGAAGUAAUAUAAAUUUAAGUUCUUUUUAUUAAGUCUCUCUUAGGGAGUUGUAAGCUAAUUAAUACUUUGGAAUUUCACUACACACUGGCCGACCCUUCUAAGGUCUAGGCUCGACAAUAUGUUGAUAGUAUAGUACCAACAUACUUAUCUAAUCCAAAAAAAAAAAAUCAUCAAUAAAAAUGGAUUUAGUCAGGAACAUCGAAAAGGGCUACCUAUUGUCAAAGGUCAAGUGGGCUUGUGAUG
rnacentral:lncRNA from 1 species